rnacentral:rRNA from 1 species
UACGGGGGGGGCAAGCGUUGUUCGGAAUUACUGGGCGUAAAGGGUUCGUAGGUGGCCUGCUAAGUCGGACGUGAAAUCCCUCGGCUCAACCGGGGAACUGCGUCCGAUACUGGUGGGCUCGAGUGCAGGAGAGGAACGCGGAAUUCCAGGUGUAGCGGUGAAAUGCGUAGAUAUCUGGAGGAACACCGGUGGCGAAGGCGGCGUUCUGGACUGCAACUGACACUGAGGAACGAAAGCCGGGGGAGCAAACGGG